rnacentral:rRNA from 1 species
UAAGACGGAGGAUGCAAGUGUUAUCCGGAAUCACUGGGCGUAAAGCGUCUGUAGGUGGUUUAAUAAGUCAACUGUUAAAUCUUGAGGCUCAACUUCAAAAUCGCAGUCGAAACUAUUAGACUAGAGUAUAGUAGAGGUAAAGGGAAUUUCCAGUGGAGCGGUGAAAUGCGUAGAUAUUGGAAAGAACACCGAUGGCGAAAGCACUUUACUGGGCUAUUACUAACACUCAGAGACGAAAGCUAGGGUAGCAAAUGGGAUUAGAUACCCCAGUAGUCCUAGCCGUAAACUAUGGAUACUAGAUGUUGAACAGAUCGACCUGUGCAGUAUCAAAGCUAACGCGUUAAGUAUCCCGCCUGGGAAGUAUGCUCGCAAGAGUG